GGGUCUGUAGCUCAGGUGGCUAGAGCGCACCCCUGAUAAGGGUGAGGUCGGUGGUUCGAAUCCUCCCAGACCCA
rnacentral:tRNA from 1 species